UAGUUAUGAAAGUUAUUAAGAUUGGUAUUAUUUAAUUAAAUUGAAGCAGUUUGUAUUACAGAAAAAAGUGGUUUUACAAGAUUUGAAAUAGUUUGUAUCAAACCAAGAAGUAGUUAAAAGAUUGCAAAAGAGUAAAAUGUCAUAUCACCGGGCUGUUUGGUUGGAAGAAAAUCGUGAGGAAGAAGGAGUCUUGCCAUCCGCAUGGGUGCGGGGAAAAGUAGUUAUGUGGCCCCCAUCCAAAAUGAAUGCGUUUAAAUUACUGAAAGAAGGAGUAGAACCUAAUGAAA
rnacentral:misc_RNA from 1 species